rnacentral:rRNA from 1 species
AGUCGAGCGGUAGAGAGAAGCUCGCUUCUUUUGAGAGCGGCGGACGGGUGAGUAAUGCCUAGGAAUCUGCCUGGUAGUGGGGGAUAACGUUCGGAAACGGACGCUAAUACCGCAUACGUCCUACGGGAGAAAGCAGGGGACCUUCGGGCCUUGCGCUAUCAGAUGAGCCUAGGUCGGAUUAGCUAGUUGGUGAGGUAAUGGCUCACCAAGGCUACGAUCCGUAACUGGUCUGAGAGGAUGAUCAGUCACACUGGAACUGAGACACGGUCCAGACUCCUACGGGAGGCAGCAGUGGGGAAUAUUGGACAAUGGGCGAAAGCCUGAUCCAGCCAUGCCGCGUGUGUGAAGAAGGUCUUCGGAUUGUAAAGCACUUUAAGUUGGGAGGAAGGGCAGUAAAUUAAUACUUUGCUGUUUUGACGUUACCGACAGAAUAAGCACCGGCUAACUCUGUGCCAGCAGCCGCGGUAAU